ensembl:lncRNA
CCUUAGCCGUGCACUCUAGCUAGCUAGGAAGUUUGAUGUCAUCAAAUUUCACAUGAUGUAUAGCGACGUCCAAACAUCAAAACAUUGCUAGCAAAUUGUAAAAAAAAAAUGGAUAGUAACAAUAUAAUUCCAUUAAAUAACGACAGUAGACGCUGUAUUUUCUUUAAUACAGAUUCUGACGACUAUCGAUGUUUUGGAUGAAAGCCAAAGUACAUAGUCCUACAAAGGCCCUAGGUUAUAAAACCAUGCAUGCUGUUGAAAAAAGGUCUCCCACAGAGUGACAGGUGGUGAUUCUCACAGUGAAGCGAGCCACAGGCACCUUCUCACUGAUAGGAUGCUUUUUCAUGCUGUUUGUAAUCUGGCUUCUCCGCCGGUAUCACUCCUUGGCCCAGAAGAUGAUUUGCAGUCUGACAGUUGCGGCCUUCUUUGACAGUGUAGCGUAUGUCAUCGGUGAUACCCAUCCAGAGGGGAGUCUGUGUAACUUCCAGGCCUGGUGGCUCACUUAUUUUGACUGGAGUGCCUUGGCCUGGGUGUCCUGAAUUAUUCUGAACC